UCUCCGUUGGUGAACCAGCGGAGGGAUCAUUACUGGAAUCGCAAGAUCCCACAACCCCUGUGAACCUACCGAAACGUUGCCUCGGCGGGCGCCCGGCCCCGCGCCGGGCGCUGAGCCCGCCGGCGGCCCCCUACCCUUGUCUCUGCAGCGUGGCAUCCCAGAGUCCCAGAAAACAAGUAAAAACUUUCAACAACGGAUCUCUUGGCUCUA
rnacentral:misc_RNA from 1 species